GUGGUUUAUUCUGAGAGCAGCCGGGCUCGGGCGCAGGACCCCGAGGGCAGGCAGGAGGCCGGCGCGGGUGCUGGGGCGGGCACGAGGCUGAAGAGGGCGCGGCGGCUAGCGCGGGGCGAGGGCGGCAGCGCAGCCUGAAGCGAGCUGAGAGCGGCCAGUUGCUGCUCCCGGGACAAGUCACCGCGCAGGCCCAAGAGGGCGGAGACGUGGUCCUCGCUGCAGGGGCACCAAGGAGGCGUGUCAGCCCCGUUCUCCCCGCCCUCCGGCUUCUCCUCCCUCCUGGACCCCCGUCCGCACCUCACGUCGGGAAACUGUUGCUGCAGGCCAGCCACCUCCAGGCCCAGCAGCGCGGGGUCGCGGAGGUUUAGCAGCUCUCUCAGGGCGAGCAGCACCGGCGCGCAGUGCGCGUUCUCCUCCAGGCCCUGAGCACGUCGGGGUAGGGUCUCGCGCCAGCCCUCGUCUCCCACCCAACCACUGAGACUCCCGCCCGUCUGCCCGCCAAGAAGCUCUCACCAAACCGAGGAAAAGCUGCUGAAGCUGGGCAGCAUCGUGCCGCAGGCGCUCGGCCGCCUGGGUCCUCUCGUCCGCUCCGCGGCACACCAGGCGGCCUUGCAUCAGCGCGCGCAGGUACUGGAGCACCACGGCGCGCUCGGCCUCAGCCAGUAGCAGCUGCGGGGAGGCAAUCAGACCUGAAGGAGGCCUCACCUGGAGCUCCACCUGCAGCGCCUCCAACACCAGGCGGCAGAUCCUCCUCUGUAACUUGUCCAGCGCAGCUUCCACCGGAGCCAAGGCCCCUGAAGGCGCCCCGUCCAGCUGCAGGACAGACACUGAGGAGCUGGACCGAGCAAAACUACGGCUUCAGGACCAAGGCCAAGGCCCGCAUGGCCCUCGGUGGUCCAGCCCCUCCGGCGCCACCUUGUGGGGCAAGUGUUGAUAGGAGGGAGCGAGAACAGCGGCUCCCUGCACUUCUGGUCUCAGGCAUGGACCAGGGCUGGGAGGCGGCGCUCGGCGAGCUACAAAGGACACAGCCCAGGGGGACCUGCCUCUAAUUCGCGGUGCGACCUUGAGCAAAACAUUCUUUCUGUUUGUGUUUCCUCAUUCGUAAAGGGAGGGAACUAUCCCAGUGAGGAGGGAGUAAAAAUCAUCACUAACUUGUUUUCCUUGCCCCCACCAAAAAGAACAUACCACCCAAGAGGAAGGGAGUGUGUGUGUGUGUGUGUGUGUGUGUACACACAGCUGUAACCCCAGAUAUUACUGGCACAGAGUAGGGCCUUGAAAUAUUCGCUGGACGAAUGAGCAAUUGACAUCAUGUGCCAGGCACUAUGGUAGGCACUUGACAUGUUAUCUCAUGUGAUUCUCGGAACAUUCCAUUAGUACCCACAUAAUACUAAUGAGAAAAGUGAGAUUCAGAGAGAUUAGGUAACCCAUCCAAGGUCACAUAACUAGUAAUUAGCAGAACUAGAAUUGGAACCCCAGGGCGAUGUGAGUCCAAAGUCCCUAGUGUCCUAGUGUGGGCUGGGCCCAUACACAAUAGGUACUCAAUAGGGGGUUAGUGAAGGUGGGGUUCCCCGGGGGCCUUCUGGUACCUGAGUGCUGACUGGUGGUUGAGGGCGGCCAGUAGGUAGGGCACGUAAUGAGGGACCAUUGCUUUCCCCCUGAGGUGGUCUCGGGAGAAUCGGAUCAGAGCGUCACUGAAGCUGCAAUGGGCAGAGGUGGCUCCUGGACUUGCUGCUAUGCUGGCAGCCCCACAGCCCCAGUCCCUGGUACUCCUGUCCCAUCUCCAAGAUACCCAAGUCCUUGUUUGAAAGAGCC